rnacentral:miRNA from 8 species
GUGGAUAUUCCUUCUAUGUUUA